GAUGAACGCUGGCGGCGUGCCUAAUACAUGCAAGUCGAGCGAACAGACGAUGAGCUUGCUCCUCUGACGUUAGCGGCUGACGGGUGAGUAACACGUGGAUAACCUACCUAUAAGACUGGGAUAACUUCGGGAAACCGGAGCUAAUACCGGAUAAUAUAUUGAACCGCAUGGUUCAAUAGUGAAAGACGGUUUUGCUGUCUCUUAUAGAUUGAUCCGCGCCGCAUUAGCUAGUUGGUAAGGUAACGGCUUACCAAGGCAACGAUGCGUAGCCGACCUGAGAGGGAGAUCGGCCACACUGGAACUGAGACACGGUCCAGACUACUACGGGAGGCAGCAGUAGGGAAUCUUACGCAAUGGGCGAAAGCCUGACGGAGCAAGGCCGCGUGAGUGAUGAAGGUCUUCGGAUCGUAAAACUCUGUUAUUAGGGAAGAAAAAAUGUGUAAGUAAAUAUGCACGUAUUGACGGUAACUAAUCAGAAAGCAACGGCUAACUACGUG
rnacentral:rRNA from 1 species